GACGAACGCUGGCGGCGUGCUUAACACAUGCAAGUCGAACGGAAAGGCCCUGCUUUUGUGGGGUGCUCGAGUGGCGAACGGGUGAGUAACACGUGAGUAACCUGCCCUUGACUUUGGGAUAACUUCAGGAAACUGGGGCUAAUACCGGAUAGGAGCUCCUGCUGCAUGGUGGGGGUUGGAAAGUUUCGGCGGAUGGGGAUGGACUCGCGGCUUACCAGCUUGUUGGUGGGGGAGUGGCUUACCAAGGCUUUGACGGGUAGCCGGCCUGAGAGGGUGAACGGCCACAUUGGGACUGAGAUACGGCCCAGACUCCUACGGGAGGCAGCAGUGGGGAGUAUUGCACAAUGGGCGGAAGCCUGAUGCAGCAACGCCGCGUGCGGGAUGACGGCCUUCGGGUUGUAAACCGCUUUCGCCUGUGACGAAGCGUGAGUGACGGUAAUGAGUAAAGAAGCACCGGCUAACUACGUG
rnacentral:rRNA from 1 species